UUCGCAAUGCCCGAAAGGGUGACGAAGCGACACCGCGUGGGUGAGGAAGGCCUUCGGGUUGUAAAGCCCUGUCAGGAGUUAAGAAAUGUAAGUGCGCUAAUACCGCAUUUAUUUGACGAAGGCUCCAAAGGAAGUCACGGCUAACUCUGUGCCAGCAGCCGCGGUAAUACAGAGGUGGCAAGCGUUGUUCGGAAUUAUUGGGCGUAAAGAGCACGUAGGUGGGUUUGUAAGUCAGAUGUGAAAGCCUCCUGUUCAACGGGAGAAUUGCAUCUGAAACUACAGAUCUUGAGUGUAGGAGGGGAGAAUGGAACUUCUGGUGGAGCGGUGAAAUGCGUAGAUAUCAGAAGGAACGCCGGCGGCGAAAGCGAUUCUCUGGCCUAUUACUGACACUCAGUGUGCGAAAGCUAGGGUAGCAAACGGGAUUAGAUACCCCGGUAGUCCUAGCCGUAAACGAUGGGCACUAAGUAGAGGGGUUUUA
rnacentral:rRNA from 1 species